GGAGAUUUUUAAGAGCGGGUUAAACAAACACCUGUCAGGGAUGGUCUAGAACAGUGGUGGGUCACCUGCUGCCUGUGGGCUGCAUGCAGGCCAUCAGGGUAGUCUGACUGUGGGCUGCGAGACAUUUUGCUUUUGUUGACUGUCUGCAGGCAUGGGCACCCCAGCGCCCAGUGACCAUGCUGGCUGCCGCUUCCCACAGCUCCCAUUGGCUGGGAACGGUGAACUGUGGCAACUGAGCUGCAGGGGCAGAGCUGUCCUUAGGCAUACGCAGCAUAUGCAGCUGUGUAGGGCACCAUGAAAUUUGGGGCACCAAAUUGCCCCAAAUUUCAUGGUGCCCUAGGCAGCUGCAUGCUGCAUACGUGGCAGCACCAGCUGCGGCUGUCCCACUGCAAGGGGCAGGGCUGUCCCUAGGGAGAUAUGGGGCCCCGGACAACUCCCUGCGCCCCACCUCCUACCCUUUCCCCCUGUCUGCCCCCAGCCCGCCCCCAUUCCACCCCUUCCCCCCAGCAACCCCGAACUCAUCGGCAGCAGCGGGAAGCAGAGCAGCCCACUCUACUCCGCCAGCUCCCAGCCGGGUCACUCCACUUUCCGCCGCCGCCUGACUAUAGGUUUCCAGGCACUGAGGUCCAAGAAACGCUGGCUGGUCUCUGGCUGAUUAGGUGACGGUGCCACGGAGGCAGGAGGGAUGACCUAAACCAGGAACAGCUGAGCCACGUGGUUUCUGAGAAAGGACUCCUGGAGCUGGAAGGCAGCGAUUGAGAGGAAAGCGAAAGUUAAAGCAGCUGGAGGAGGGGAAAAGGACGUUUCGUUGAGCAGCUGUGACCCUGGCCGUGUGCCCUCUCUGGGUAACGGGCUGAUUUUCCCCCCACUUCCCUAUCACAUUCUGUUAGCUCAGCAUUGCCUCGGGACCACAUCCCGUGUCUGGAGGUCACCAAGAUGCGCACCCCAGCUGAGGUCUGAGGCGUCCAACACCAACUUGAUGGAGUGAGGGGCUGUCGAACUAAACCCCUUCCAGGACUAUCCUGGAGUCAGCUGAGGUCUGAGGCGUCCAACACCAACUUGAUGGAGUGAGGGGUUGUCGAACUAAACCCCUUCCAGGACUAUCCUGGAGUCAGUCCACCAUCGCAGCGAAUAGGCCCAGAGAGCAGCAUGUGGCCUGAAACACAGUGACAUCCCUUUGGACUUGAGACCUGGAGCUGCCCUUGAUGAGCCAGUCGUUGAGCUGGCUCAAGAGACAGUCUCUCCACCCCCAAAGAAUACCUGAAAGAAACUGGAACAAAGGACAGUAACCAUAAGGGUGUGAGUGAUUGCUGGACCCAGACUAGGAGGCUAGUCUGUAAAAGAAGCUUGCUGAAACAUCUCUGAGGGGCCUAGCCAUCGAAGGGCAGGUCUGCUGAGCCGGUGGACAACCCAGAGAGGAGCAGCCGAGAGGCUCGCUGCAUGGAGAUAGCGGAAGCCAUGGUGUCGUCUCUCAUGAAGGAUAGCUCGGAAAGCCUCGGGGAGCGACCCUUUGAAUUGGCCAUGGCUUGCCACAUAUUGAAGUCAUAUCGGCCAAGGAGGGCUUGGUGGUUGGCCACUCUCAGCUGAAGGCUGGAAGACGAAUAAACCUUUUGCCCGAAAAGAUCCAGCCUCCUCGUGUCUUUAUUUUUUGUGGUGGCCCCGGGUUUUCCCUGUCUCUCCUUGUGGUUAACCCCC